CUUGCUGGGAAUAAUGAGAAGUAUAGAGGCAGGUGUUUAGGUGGCUGAGGUUGCCAGGGCUACGCGGCUUGUCUUCCAUGACCGAUCAGCACAGUGAGAAAAAGCAGGGACAUGAUGUCCUGGCUUACUGCACAAGAAUCAUUCUAGAAGGGCAAAGCAACGAACAGGAGAACAUUUCUUUCUUUCAUGAAACCAUUCGGUGCCAGACACUCUGGAAGAUCAGCAUGCCUGUUGCUAGCUAUUGGUGUCCAAAACACUUCAGUCAGUGCAGUGAGAAGGUUGAGUGACAACCCCUUCCUAGUAUACCACUUUUGAACAGGACAGUGUGGAACAGCUCGGUAUGGUGAUCAGUUUGAUUCCUUGUCCUACUUGUACUCUGCUAUAAACAAUUAUGUUACAAAGAAACCAUAUGAGAUACUGGAGAUCCUGACGCCGUCUGUCCGCUGGAAUACCUGAUCAAUCCUGAUGAUCCACUUCUGCUUGGAGCAUCCUUCACCUGAAAAUUCACUCACUGCUGCUGGGUAUGGCCCUGCUUGGACAGCCUAAAGAUCACCAUGAGAUUGCUGGUCACACUAAAGAUGGCUGUGGAUGUUCUUACUUGGAUAGCCCAAAGACUGUACUUGCUAAGAACAGUUUACACUCAAGUCUAAAUCAUUGAACCGUCAAUAACUUCACUUUGAUACUAUAGACUUGAGGUUAAAAAAAAUUAAUCAGAAAUGACUCUGAUGCUCAUACUCAAAUUCCUGACGUGGCACUGUUUGACAUUUAGUAAACUGUUAUAGUAGGGAAACUAUUUAUAAUUGCACUAUUCAGUGUCACUAAGAUGAGGAUGGGUUCCCUUUUGAGUCUUGAGUCUCAGGGUUUCUUCCUCAUGUCAUCUCAGGGAGGAUUUCCUUGCCAUCCUUGCCAAUUGCUUAGGGAUACAUUUAAAUCUAUAUUCAGAUUUCUGUAAAGCUGAUUUGUCACCAUGUUCAUUGUUAAAAGCGCUAUAUAAAUAAAGUUGAAAUGAAUUGAAUUGAAAGAGUUAAGUGCUAUGUCCUGAAGACUCUUCCACGGUGGAAAACCAUAAUGACUAUUACAAAGUGCUGAC
ensembl:lncRNA